rnacentral:rRNA from 1 species
CAGCAGCCGCGGUAAUACGAAGGUCCCGAGCGAUGUUCGGAAUCACUGGGCGUAAAGGGAGCGUAGGCGGCGUGGUAAGUCAGAUGUGAAAUCCCGGGGCUCAACCCCGGAACUGCAUCCGAUACUGCCAUGCUAGAGGAUUGGAGAGGUAGCUGGAAUUCUUGGUGUAGCAGUGAAAUGCGUGGAGAUCAAGAGGAACACUCGUGGCGAAAGCGAGCUACUGGACAAUAACUGACGCUGAGGCUCGAAGGCCAGGGUAGCGAAAGGGAUUAGAUACCCCCGGUAGUCCCUGUCUCUUAUA